GAUGAACGCUGGCGGCGUGCCUAAUACAUGCAAGUCGAGCGAACAGACGAGGAGCUUGCUCCUUUGACGUUAGCGGCGGACGGGUGAGUAACACGUGGGUAACCUACCUAUAAGACUGGGAUAACUUCGGGAAACCGGAGCUAAUACCGGAUAAUAUUUCGAACCGCAUGGUUCGAUAGUGAAAGAUGGCUUUGCUAUCACUUAUAGAUGGACCUGCGCCGUAUUAGCUAGUUGGUAAGGUAACGGCUUACCAAGGCAACGAUACGUAGCCGACCUGAGAGGGUGAUCGGCCACACUGGAACUGAGACACGGUCCAGACUCCUACGGGAGGCAGCAGUAGGGAAUCUUCCGCAAUGGGCGAAGGCCUGACGGAGCAACGCCGCGUGAGUGAUGAAGGUCUUCGGAUCGUAAAACUCUGUUAUUAGGGAAGAACAAACGUGUAAGUAACUGUGCACGUCUUGACGGUACCUAAUCAGAAAGCCACGGCUAACUACGUG
rnacentral:rRNA from 1 species